UGGACGAGGGCUGCCCGGGGCCCUCCUCCCGCCCUGACGCUCGUCCUCCCUCACUGGUGCCCCCCGCACAACCUCCAGCGUGACGGCUGCCCCCGAGCCUAGUCACACGGCAUACGCCGCCCGCGCCGCAGCCACAGUCCCAGCCUCGGGGUGACGAGCAGAACCGCCUGCUAACGCUGCAUGGCGGGCUUUGGGGUGCGCUGUAGCCAGCACACCCCCUGCUCUGUGAGUGACACGGGAGGAUUUCCAAAAGCAAGUUUUACGGCUCCAGAUGUUGAAUGAUGGUCUCAUGGAACAAUUUUGGAGGUUCCACUGAGAUUGUUUUGAAGAUCCUCAUUUGGCAGCAUUCCUGGGGACCCUUAGACCAAUAGACAGUCGGGAACAAAGGACAGACACUUUUUAACAUAAUGAGCCUCAGAAGAUUCCUGUUAGAUGAUCAAUCUGGGCAGUGCAGCAAAUCUAAUGAUUUUGCAUCAACCAUACCCUGAGAAUGGACACUGGGAAGCCCUCUAUCCUCUCUCCCUUUCCCCCCUGUUCUCACCCGCAAGGUCCUAGCCCUAGAACGAAGCCUGGUGUCCUUCAACAGGAGACACCAGAGAGUGAAAGGAUUGAUGAUGAGUGGACCAGAAGUCUAGGAUCUCCAAGCUGCUCAAGUGUAGCUGGAGU